AGCGAACGCUGGCGGCAGGCCUAACACAUGCAAGUCGAACGAACCUUUCGGGGUUAGUGGCGGACGGGUGAGUAACACGUGGGAACGUGCCUUUAGGUUCGGAAUAACUCAGGGAAACUUGUUCUAAUACCGAAUGUGCCCUUCGGGGGAAAGAUUUAUCGCCUUUAGAACGGCCCGCGUCUGAUUAGCUAGUUGGUUGAGGUAAUGGCUCACCAAGGCGACGAUCAGUAGCUGGUCUGAGAGGAUGAUCAGCCACAUUGGGACUGAGACACGGACCAAACUCCUACGGGAGGCAGCAGUGGGGAAUCUUGCGCAAUGGGCGAAAGCCUGACGCAGCCAUGCCGCGUGAAUGAUGAAGGUCUUAGGAUUGUAAAAUUCUUUCCCCGGGGACGAUAAUGACGGUACCCGGCGAAGAAGCCCCGGCUAACUUCGUG
rnacentral:rRNA from 1 species